UAUCAUUUCAGAGUUUAAUUUGUAAGCAUUCAACACUGGAGUCUGCAGCUGUUAAUAGAAAAAGAUGUACUUGAUGGAAAUUAGACUAAAACAUUCAUGCAUAUCACAUAUGCAAAAGCUCGUCUUCGAUGCACAUCUUUGGAGUUGAAUUUUAACAUCAAAGAGAAUGUAGCUCAUUAGGGGAGGGUGGUUGCAUUAGGAUUGAUCCGUCGUCAUCUCGAGAUGGAAAUUGCAUGUCCGAUUGUAAUAGCUGACUAGGAUUUUGAUCCUGUGCUGCUGAAUAUGACUGGGGCUGGG
rnacentral:misc_RNA from 1 species